rnacentral:rRNA from 1 species
CCUUCGGGGGACAAAGUGACAGGUGGUGCAUGGUUGUCGUCAGCUCGUGUCGUGAGAUGUUGGGUUAAGUCCCGCAACGAGCGCAACCCUUAAGCUUAGUUGCCAGCAUUAAGUUGGGCACUCUAAGUUGACUGCCGGUGACAAACCGGAGGAAGGUGGGGAUGACGUCAAAUCAUCAUGCCCCUUAUGAUUUGGGCUACACACGUGCUACAAUGGACAAUACAAAGGGCAGCUAAACCGCGAGGUCAUGCAAAUCCCAUAAAGUUGUUCUCAGUUCGGAUUGUAGUCUGCAACUCGACUACAUGAAGCUGGAAUCGCUAGUAAUCGUAGAUCAGCAUGCUACGGUGAAUACGUUCCCGGGUCUUGUACACACCGCCCGUCACACCACGAGAGUCUGUAACACCCGAAGCCGGUGGAGUAACCAUUUAUGGAGCUAGCCGUCGAAGGUGGGACAAAUGAUUGGGGUGAAGUCGUAACAAGGUAGCCGUAUCGGAAGGUGCGGUUGGAUCACCUC